rnacentral:rRNA from 1 species
GAUGAACGCUGGCGGCGUGCCUAAUACAUGCAAGUCGAGCGAACAGACGAGGAGCUUGCUCCUCUGACGUUAGCGGCGGACGGGUGAGUAACACGUGGAUAACCUACCUAUAAGACUGGGAUAACUUCGGGAAACCGGAGCUAAUACCGGAUAAUAUAUUGAACCGCAUGGUUCAAUAGUGAAAGACGGUUUUGCUGUCACUUAUAGAUGGAUCCGCGCCGCAUUAGCUAGUUGGUAAGGUAACGGCUUACCAAGGCAACGAUGCGUAGCCGACCUGAGAGGGUAAUCGGCCACACUGGAACUGAGACACGGUCCAGACUCCUACGGGAGGCUGCAGUAGGGAAUCUUCCGCAAUGGGCGAAAGCCUGACGGAGCAACGCUGCGUGAGUGAUGAAGGUCUUCGGAUCGUAAAACUCUGUUAUUAGGGAAGAACAAAUGUGUAAGUAACUAUGCACGUCUUGACGGUACCUAAUCAGAAAGCCACGGCUAACUACGUG